GUCACAUGGGCCGCUUGCCUUCUACACAUUUACAAUACACAUUCACGCUCCGCUGGUUCCGCUUACCUUACAUCCGAACAUCAGCGACAGUGUUCGGUUGCUGCAGAUGAGCUUGCAUUGGCACAUGACCGGAGAGAGGCACUUCAAGUUCUUUAUGGGCAGAGACAUCGGUACCAAGCUAAAAAGAGAGCACCAGACCACCGCUUCGUCCUCGGUCACACCACGAGACUCGCCGGUCAAAGCAAAUCAAAGGACACCCGGGAAAGCAGCAGUCCAGGGAGGGGGUGGACUCGGUCAGUGAUACGGGCGGUGGAGAGCGGGAGAGAUGUCCGAUGGAGCGGAGAGGACGCCCCCUGUUGGAGCUGAACUGUGAUGGUGCUGUCCAAGGUGCUGAACUUCAAGACAGAAAGAAGCUGUGCCUACUGAGUUAAAACUCUGUCGUUCAUCACUACGUAUGCCUGUUUAUUUACGCAAGUUGUCUUGUCUCUGGAGUAGCAAUGCCAUUACACAUGGCAUUGCUAACAUGCUGAAAAUGUUCAACUUUGAAAAUGGUCAUCUUUUCAUAUUCCUAAAUACACAAUAAAGCUGGUAAACAUA